rnacentral:lncRNA from 1 species
CCAUCUGUUAAUUUGAACUUGGGUUUGCAUAACGUACAUAUUUCAGUUGUCAUAAGAUAAAUGUUAGUUUUUGCUGACUAGCAUAUCAUAUUCAACAGUAUAUAUGCUAGUUAACAACAGAAAUUUCCAAGAUGAAACAACAACAACUACCCAGUAUAGUCUCACAAAGUGGGGUCUGGGGAGGGUAAUAUGUAGACGGGUCUUACCCCUACCCGGAAGGGCAGAAAGGCUGUUUUCAAUCGACCCUCGGCUCAGUGAAGGAAAGGAACAACAAAAACACAAACAACACAAAAGAGCAUUAGUAGCUUCAGCAGAAAUAGCGUAAAUAAUUAUCUAAACAUAAGAACCAU